ACCCUCCCGAUUCCCUUUCCCAUCAGAUCUGAACACUGGUCUUGGUGGUCGUAAAAGGAGGAAAAGUAAUACUGAAGCUGGCCUCACAUCGUUGUAGUGUGGUAUAUAUUUACAUAUCCAGUGGGCCAGUUUCAAACAAGG
ensembl:snoRNA SNORA61 small nucleolar RNA, H/ACA box 61